CCUGUAGUCCCAGCUACUCAGGAGGCUGAGGCAGGAGAAUGGCUUGAACCUGGGAGGUGGAGGUUGCAGUGAACCGAGAUCGCACCACUGCACUCCAGCCUGGUGACAGAGCAAGACACCAUCCUGAAACGAUGUUGUAGUUGAGAGCAGGAUAGUCUUUUGGGACAGGAGGAACAAGAGGUUGUGGUUGUCACUCUUCAAUCAGUUCUUCUUUUUCCUUGACUGUAAGAUCAGAUCAUUCUUGUAAUUUGUAAGUCUUAGAGAAAAGAAGUCUGAUUAUCCAGAGUAUCAGAAUCCCUUCCAAAAUAAGAUGAAACCUCAAUCUGAAGACCCUAACUUCCCUCAGAGACAUACACUAGGGACUUCACAAAAUGCCUUCAGUGAGGAACUGGAAAACUGGAAGAAGUGCAGAGAAGAAAAGGUCAAGAAGGUCCUGAGGGACAGGAUAAUUGAGGAAGCAAGAAGUGCAGAGGAAAGUGAAUACAGAAAGAGGGAAAUUUAUGGAUGCUGAGGCAGACACUAAGUUGACUGAAUCUUGGGUCUGGGCGUAGGUAAAUAAACCAUUUGGAAUAA